GCCGGGCGUGGUGGUGCGCACCUGUAAUCCCAGCUACUCGGGAGGCUGAGAUAGGAGAAUCGCUUGAACCCGGGAGUUGGAAGUUGCAGUGAGCUGAGAUCGUGCCACUGCACUCCAGCCUGGGCAACAGAGUGAGACUCCGUCUCAA
ensembl:misc_RNA Metazoa_SRP Metazoan signal recognition particle RNA